rnacentral:lncRNA from 1 species
GCUUUGUUCCCCAUAAUCUUUCAGUCACUAGACAUCCCAGCCCCAAGGCAGAGAAAGAGAGCCUUGGCAGGGGACAGAUGUGCUGUGACAUCCCUCUAGCAUCUAUGAAGCAUGUUACAGAGGAACGGCUGGAGGAAAGAGAAGGAACUUGCCCAUCUCAGUACUUCCUCUGCCUUAACCAGUGGCGUUCCUUGGUGUGGCAAACCCAUUCCUGAAGCCAAACUUCCUCCUCAGGACAUCUCAGCAUUCACAAGAUGAUCAGCCCAGGGGCCUGGUGUCUGUUUGGAAGAGAUGCUCCAUUCCCUGGAGUCUGUCAGAGCUGAGGAAGUGGUGGAACAUGGACAGAUGGACAUACAAACGGAUGGACAGAUAGACAGACAGACAGAUGGGCAGGCUGGAGGAGAGACAGACAUAUCCAUCUGGCAAUCUUCCACUUUGACAAAGUGGAUGAAACAAUUAUCUCCGUUAUCGGCCAAAGCGGUAGACAUGCGAGAGUUGGGGGAUUUCUGCAGGUGGACAGCCUUGGCUAGGAAUCAACACCAAUGGUGAAACGUGCCCAGGAAUGGCUCCCACCUCUCUCUCGCUUGUGACUAUGAGCAUCUGAAGAUGGAUUGUGCAUCCCGACGAGCACUGUUCCGUGAAGAACAAAAAUCAUAGGUCGGAGGUUCAUUAAUCAGUGAGAUUCUCUUUGCAAACACCACCUGAAUGAGUAGUCCCUGUUUUUGGAGAGAUUUUUAAACAAUGAUGACAGUCUGCACCAUGGCAUUGUCCUCAGGCCAAUGGAGCAUUGUAACAUCAAUGUGGUUCAUCAGAAAUGGGUCCUUCAUAUAAAUCUGCUCGUGAGUAAACUAAAAAAUGACUACAUCCUAUCAAUUGGCAUAGAUGCAUAUACAGAAGCUGUUCGUGGAGACUUCAAUAAGCAACGCAUUCAGUCUCUGCCUUCACUAUGUACUGGAAAGUAAAGGGGACAGGUGUCUUCUAAAAUAGAGUAGCAAUGGAGCUAGGAGAGCAUGCUGUGUAGAGUCUCUCUGUUAGACAACACCUUGUAUGCACCCUGAAGGCAGCCAUGGGUUAAGGUGCAGUUAGAGGUUCGUGGGCAAGGCAAGAAUUGCGGCUCAUCGGGUUAAAGGUAAUCACUUACUUCCUAGAUAAAUCUCUUUCCCUCUUUAUGAAAUAUGGCAAAAGAGCACCACCCUGUCCUCAUUGCAAUCUCCCUCCCAGUAUCCCUGCCCUUCCUUCUCAGGCCCAGCUCUGUAGUCUUAAUGUGGUCAGCCUUGCUCAUUCUUGGCUUCUAUAGAGCAUUUGUAAACCCAUCUUCCCUUGUAUGUGGAUGAUAUACCUCCCCCUCUCCCUCCUCGUCCUCCUCUCCUUCCCUUCUCCAUCCCUGUCACCUCCUCCCUCUCAGUCUACCCUGCCUCAUGCAUGCCUCUGUGUGUGUGUGUGUGUGUGUGUGUGUGUGUGUGUGUGUGUGUGUGUGUGUUUUCCAAUCACUGAAGCUCCUGAAUGACUGACCUUAGGGAUAGAAUGGGAAGUAGAGAAG